GACGUAGGGCGCGAGCGUUGUCCGGAUUUAUUGGGCGUAAAGAGCUCGUAGGCGGUCUGUCACGUCGGCUGUGAAAACCCGAGGCUCAACCUCGGGCCUGCAGUCGAUACGGGCAAACUAGAGUACUGCAGGGGAGACUGGAAUUCCUGGUGUAGCGGUGAAAUGCGCAGAUAUCAGGAGGGAACACCGAUGGCGAAGGCAGGUCUCUGGGCCAUUACUGACACUGAGAAGCGGAAAGCAUGGGGAGCGAACAGG
rnacentral:rRNA from 1 species